GACCCGAUCCAAUUAACCCUUCUCUCAUACGCUACCCUGAAACCCUAGAUUCACAUCUACAUCUUCCUCUUCACCUUCACGCUUCUUUUUCCUCCAAUCCCGUGCUUCUCUCUACACAAACCUUAAUCAAAAAAUUCCAUCCUCUCUUACAAUCAAAGCUUCGAAGUUUAAGAUCUUCCACCAUGUGAAGUUCAUUGCUUCUCAAUUUUUAGUCUUCUACUUUUUGUUCCACGCUCAUUCCCUUCUUCAUACUCUGAAACCCUAGACCCUUCUCCCUCACGUUUCCUUAACGACUCCGAAUUGUUAGGUGGAUUCUGGCCAGGUGGGUAUGAAGGGAAGUGGCAAAUGUCCAGUGACUGUUGGCGGUGGUGAUGGCUGCCGGCACUGCCGGAUGGUGGUGGCAGAUGGUAGUAACAACAACAACCUGGACAAAUGUAUGAGGACAAUUUUGAUGAAGCCCAGGUGCAGAGGACCUUAAAAAGAGGCAUUAAUGAAGGAAACGACUCAGUGGAAGAGUUGAACAAUGAACAUCCUGUUCAGAAAAAUCAUGAGAGGGCACGUAAAAGAUUGAAGCCAUUAGUUCUCGAUGAUGCCGAACAGAAACUGAAGGACCUUUAUGAGAAAUAUAAGGAGUUUCCAGAUUGCAGUCAACGCAUAGUAGGAGAACUUAAUAUGGAAGUUUCACCCGCUCAGGUUUCCAGUAAGCUUAAAAAGAUGGGGUUCAAAUGACCGUCAAAGAGAAGAGUGGGUGACACAAAUGUCUCAAGUGUUAAUGGUGAAGCAGUGGAGGCAUCAGCACAAUGAAAAAGAGGACGUCUAUUUAGUGAAGAGCAAGAGAUCAAGAUUAAAACCUUAUUUGAGCAGUUUAAGCGCUUAACAAAGAUGUGGCAACUGGGGUACUUUAUGGUGUACUGAAGGCAUUUGGAAUCGUCACAGGUUCUAUUACUAACUCGAAACCUACCAAAAAGUCAAAAACUUGAUAUAUCUUGAUGAAAUUUUACAGACGAAGUUUGUGAUGUGAGUGAAGUGGUUGGGAGAAACGUGAUAUCCACAACCUGAACUAUCACAACGGACUUUGUUUCACACAAGUUAAAGAAUACAAGUUUUUGUCUUCGCUAAAUCAUCUACAAUCCAGAGGAUGUUCUUUAUCUUCAAGUUAUUUAACCUUGAAUCAUCUACGUUCCAACCAUGUUCUCUGUCUCGAUUUCAAGGGCGUCACUGAUUUGUGUUUUGUUUGUUCUUCGAUACACGAAUCGCUUAAUUUUGGGAUUAGGGUCCAGUGACGACGAUUUUUUUUCUGGCUUUCUCUGCGUUGGAUCUAGGUGAGGUGAUUAUGGCUGAAGGUGGAUUUCAACACAUGAAGGCCAAUAGUGUUACAUCGGAAACCUCUGGCGUUUCAGAUGAUAUUUGAUCUUCUACUAGAUGAGGUUGAUGAGACGUUCAAACCGUCGUGGCUCUCAUGCUAAUUCCUUUGAUAAGCUUGAUAAGAUUAGGCAAGGGACGCAUAGCAAAUAAUGAUAAGGAACUGCUUAAUUUGUCUCAUUUUAUGUAUAAUGUGUCUACAAAUUAAUGUUGUUUAAUUGUUUUUCCAUUUGUACAUGCUAUUAGAGAUUUAAAGAAAAAAGUACCAGAGAUGGGACCCUGGUUAACUACUUGAGUCUGCUUUUUAUUGGAUAUGGAAAAUUGGGUGGAUGACCUAUUUUGGUAAAGCGGGUUCAAGUCAAAAUGAGUAUUUAUAUUGAAAGUCCAAAUAGAACCAUGUUUGGUUGCCACCCAGUGUAGUCCGUAUCCCUCUUUUCUUAUUUUCAGACAUGCCUAGCUAGGUUGAUUGAAAUUAACAUAUUGCCCAAUCCAUCCCAUAGCCUUUUAUUAAAAGUCCAAAUAUACCCAUUUAAGUGUAUGCAUAAAAAUUGGCAUGUAUAAUUUUUUUUAUAAAAAUUAAUAACUUUUACAAC